rnacentral:rRNA from 1 species
UACGAAGGGUGCAAACGUUGCUCGGAAUUAUUGGGCGUAAAGCGCACGUAGGCGGCUUUGCAAGUCGGAUGUGAAAGCCCUCGGCUCAACCAAGGAAGUGCUUUCGAAACUGCUGAGCUUGAGUACUUAAGAGGAUCGCGGAAUUCCCGGUGUAGAGGUGAAAUUCGUAGAUAUCGGGAGGAACACCAGUGGCGAAGGCGGCGAUCUGGGAAGAUACUGACGCUGAGGUGCGAAAGCGUGGGGAGCAAACAGG